UUAGUUUGAUGCAAAAGUAAUAGUGGUUUUUGCCAUUGAAAGUAAUGGCAAAAAACGCUAUUACUUUUGCACCAAUCUAA
rnacentral:miRNA from 1 species